rfam:Treponema denticola ATCC 35405, complete genome.
GCCGGCGUGGUGAAAUGGUAUACACGAUAGACUCAAAAUCUAUUGGGGGCGACUCCGUAAGGGUUCAAGUCCCUUCGCCGGUA